rnacentral:piRNA from 1 species
UCCCAUGGAAGCCCACGGUUAUAGAGAC